AUUACUAUUUUUCCUAUAACCCGUGUUCUUAUAGAAUAUCCGAUGGAUGACGAUAUGAUAUUUAGAACAUGUUUCGAACACCUCUUUAUAGUAUAGAUGAUGGAUGACUUUAUACUAUGAAGUUGUUUUUCAAUAUAUAUAUGUUCAAUGGUUUCGUACUUACCUAGUGGUCCUUUCCGCUACGGGACGUAGGGAUAGAUUCCGGUCCGUCUCGGGCGACGGUUUGGUGUUGGCAUAGGGCCUGGAGUGUGUUUCCUCUGGCUAUUUAGCACAGAGACGGGGAGCCGGCAUGGGGCCUGAAGUGUAUUUUCCUUUGACUGUCUGCUCAGAGACGGGGAGCCGGCAUAGGGCCUGGGGGUUAUCGGACAAUUCACUAGUGAUUAUUAUAUAUGAGUUAUGAUUUGAGAUACUGCACAUCAUGCUAGGUUUCGGAAAACCUAUGUUUAUCAUUAUAUAUGUGUUUUCAUAAACCUGGGGGUUAGUACGUUGAUAACUGUUUUAUUAUAUAUAUAUCAACUUGGUCCACUCAUGUUUGUUUUGCGCCCCCUUCAGGGCUUAGAAUCGAGGCAUACAAUCCCGGCAUCCAGGCACUUCCGCAUCGAUGUCUUCGAGUUCUUUUGGUGUGGGACCCAUUCCUUUGUUCAUUAAAUUUUAUAUCGUUUUUUUUGUAUUCUAGUUAGUCAUAUGCUUUGAACACGUUCCUUAAAUGCUUAUUCUUUUAUAUUUAUAAGUCUUAGUUAUCCUUUAUUUUCACCAAUUGCAUCAAUAAAUGGCUUUCGUCACCCUCGGGUGUCGGCCAGCACGUGCCUAUCCUGGUAUUCGGGAAAUAUCGGGAUCGGGGCGUGUCAGAUUGGUAUCAGAGCGUGGUUUGUUCAGAGCAUACUUAGGAUCCUCUUCUAUUAUCGUAAAGUGUUGGUUUUGACAUCAUUUGGAUGUCCAGACUUCUAGAUUUGGUGCCAUUCGGCGCAGUCGUACGAAUCUUCCUCUGUUUGAAUUGUCACAUUCGGGUUGAUAUACAAGAAUUUGUGUCGGGAUUGUGCCUCAUCGGUGACGUGUUUGAAUUGUUGGACGACUUUCAACUUCGGAUCGAUGCUCUGCGACGUGCAUUCCCUGGGAAUGACGGGUAGAGUUGGUGUUACCUGGAAGCGGCAUGUUUUAGAAAUCUCAGUUUAAGGAAGUCUGGUCAAGACCAGCUGUAAAUCCGAAAUGGCGAUGCCACUCUGCAACAUGCGUUCCCUAGGAAUUGCGAGCAGAGUCGGCUUUGCAUUGAAAUCUUGGGAAACGGAAAAAUUUUGGCAGUACGAAUUGGUUAAAACCAACUGGAGAUCUGAAGCGAUGAUAUCACUCUGCAACAUGCGUUCCCUAGGAAUGGCGGGCAGAGUCAUAUCUAUUGGAAAUUGCUUGAAAUAUUCAAAGUGCGUGCUAAAGAAGCGAGUAAGUGCUAGUGGUGACGACGGUUAGUAGGUGGUAGUUGGUGGGAGCAAAUCAAUGUUCUCGGACUCAUUACCACCGAAGAAAUUUGGGUGAAUCUUUAUAACAAUUCUCGGCGAUUGUUCUAUCGAUUACCUUCUUGUUUACUCAAUGAAGAAGACAAGUUCACGAACCUUUGAUCGUCGACUUCACAUCAAAUCCUUCGGGAGUUGACUUCGUCUAGAGAUUACACUUUUCUUGGGAAACUCCUCGGUAGCAGAUGUUGUUCCCAUCAAUUUCCCAAAAUGGAGUUACGAUUCUCGUUGUUGUGGUAGUUGGACUUGGAUGAUGAAGAUCUAGUUUUGUUUGGAUAAACAAAUUCCUUGAAUUUCACCUGGGUCUGGUACUCGGUGGUAAAAUGCCCCUUGUCCUUGUACUUUUCGGUAGAGGUAAACUUAACCUCUUGCUUGUAGCCCAACUGACCAGUGCUCUUGUCCGUUAACUGUUUAGCCUUGUAAUUUUCAGUAUAAUGGCUUGAGACUCUACCAUAUUCAUCAUUGUACGAAGAUCGAGCUUGACUCUAAACUUCUCUGGACUCAUUGAGCUUUGGUUUGCUUAGAGGCAUCACUUUAAGGUAGCCAAUCGUGUCACUGCAUGCAUACGCAGACUGCUUCAUAUCUUUCUUCAUCGUCAUUCUGUUGAUUCAGAGGUUCUAUGUUUAAUUUUAAACUUUGAAACAGCUCUCACAAAGUAUUGUGAAUUUCGAAAUGUCUUUGGCCUCGUCAAAUCUUAUUAACAGUUCUUAACUAUUCUUGAGAUUAGACCUAUUCCUUUUGGCUAAGAAACCCGUCAACCUUAUUGUGAUGAUUAGCCAAAUAAUCAUAAACAGUGACUUCUAUUUCUGCAUCUUCAUUUUCCUUCGCUUGUUUGUUUCUCAAUGUAAAUUGAAUCAUGCCGGAACAAAAAUAAAUAAAUUUGUUCUCAGCAUGGUUUCUGGUUUAAAUCCCGAUAUCUUGUACUCCAGUUUUAAUGGACUUGUUUUGACUCUCAAAUUCUUGAGUGUUCUUUUAGCCUUACCGACAUGUUUUCUCGCUCAAUCAGUGAGGAAUUCACGAUCGAUCGAUUCGGCGGAAGUGUGCACCCAAUUCUUAUCGUUUUGGAUAGGAAUGAUGGGAGUAUAAUAUUUUGACAAGCUUACCAGACUUACCAGAAAGAGUUCCUCGUGGGUGUGAAGUUUGAGUCGUCUUUUGGUAAGAGACCGGUGAAAGAUUGUGAUGCAGAUGAGUAGCAUAUUGCAUCACUAUCUUCACGCUAAUUGAAUGGUCACCAUUCAUUAUCUUGCUACAAUUCAUAACCAUCAUAUCUUACUCUAGUACAUCUUUUCGAUGAUGUGAUGUGUUCGCCUCAACGCAGCUUUCCACUACCUCUCACCAGGAUCAUUCGGUUCGAGAGCACAUGGGCGUGAGGUUUGAGCGGUCUUUUAGUAAGAGUUGGUUGAAGGUUUUAGUACAGAAGGUCAGCAUAUUGUAUCACCAUCUUACUAGAAUUCAUAGGCAUCACAUCGGUUAUUUUCCAACGAUAUGUGUUCAUCUCAACGCAUAUUUCCACUGCUUCACUUCUUAACCUUAUUGUUGUGAGUAGGUGGAUGUCGAAACACUUAUAGCAGAUCUGUUUGGUGCACUCUGGAAUGACACCACCGCGUUGUCGAUGUGAGAAUCGGAAGAUCUUUAAACUUCUCUUGAAUGGGGUGUGCUCUCAUGGGGUUUUUACGUUGAUCACUUGAGAGUCCUUCUUCUUUCCACCAACUUUGACCUUGUUUGACUAGAAGUCUACAACUAAGCAAAAAUGGAGAGGUGGAUUGAGCAUUACAACAACUCCCAAGAGAUACUGUGUGUUGAGGAAGAUGACUUCUCGUUUUCUGCUUGGUUCGAGCUUUUGGGUCUACUACUAACAUGGUAGCCACUUCCCUUGAAUCCCAAGGUACAGUUUUCAAAAGGGUUCUUUACUGGUGAAGCACUGGAGUAGUUAGUCACAUUUGGAAGAACUGAGGAGGAUAGGAUGCUUGGUGAUGGAUAAAGUUUUACAAGGACAGUUCUUAUUUUGUUCGGUUUGAGUAUGGCACUUGUUGUUGCAUGGUACGAGAGUUGGUACAUGCAACACUGGUUAGCAGAUGAGUAUUGUGAGCUAGUAGUCGGAGGAUUGAAUUUUCGACGUGUAAAAUUGUGCACCCUCAGUUAAUUACUGCUUGCUUAUCGAGACAACAAAUGUGUGAUCGAUAUCACAGGCGGCCGACUGUUGUAUCGAUAACUUAUUUGUUGGGUUCGUUAAGCAAGUGGGCAGGAAGAUCCGUCUACGGCAAUUGUUACAGAUUCGUUAUUCUUGGGAUUCGACCCAAAGGCACAUCUUUUCUCGGAGUACGUGAAGUUACGAAUUCUUGGGCGAGACCCACUCUCAUCUUUCAGUUUUGGUUUUCAGUAUAAGUAUUUUAACUUCAUUUACUUUGGUUAUUUGUUUUUGGUGUUACAAAUGUUUUGAGGAAAGUGUUUUCUGUUUUCAAUUUUAAAUUCAGCUCGAGUUUUUGACCUAUAUGUUAGUACAUAUCUAUUUUUGACGCUAUAGUAUUUUGCGUACUUAUUUUUGACCUUAUGUCAAUAUAUGUUUUUGACCUUAUAUCUUAUUAAUGUUUUCUACUUUUACACUGAUGGGGAUGAAAGUAAGAGUUUGGAGGCAUGAUAGAGGAUUUUGCAACCCGCUCGCGACGGUGUGGCAUAUUCUCUUUGAUGCACCCACUCUGACUUGAUUUCUCUUUAGACAUAUAUUCUUUUUACUAUUUACGUGUAUUUCAGUUUAGUAGGUGAUUUUAAAUUUCGGGGACGAAAUUCUUUUAAGGGGGUAGAUUGUUACACCCGCCCCUAAUUUAAAUCGUAUUUUUACUAAGUUUGAGUUUAUCUUGUUUUUAAAAUUGUUUUGGGUCUUAAAUGGUGUGCCCAAGGGGCCCACCCCCUGUUUUGUCCCCCGUUCCCUUUCCCUUUCUUUUAUUUAUUUUCUUUUUCUUCUGAAAAGUCUCUCUUUCUCUCUUCUUCCUCUUCUCUCCCUCGGCACAACUCUCUCCCUCUCACCCGUGCCCUUCCUCCCUGCAAAUCCUCACUUCCACACCACAUCAAUGAAGAUGACAGCACCCAUCACAACCUCUGCAGUUUUCUCUCACCCGUUGUAGAAAGGACGACGAAAUCCCAGAAGCCUCCGACGAGCAUCGCCCCUUUCGAGGAAAUUUCCGGCCAAACUACGGCGAGUUGGUCGGCGUACAAGGUAUCAAUCUCUUCGUCUCGUCAAGUACUACAACUUUCCUUUUUGUUUCACCCAAUUUAGUUGAGUAUUGAAGAAGUUAUACUCAUUUGAAUCUUACCCAGUUUCUGGCGAGUCCGACAGAUUUCGAUGCGUUUUCCGGUCAAACCACGGCGAGUUAGACGUCGUGUGAGGUACCAUUCUCUUCGUCUCUUCAAGGGCUACAACUUUUGUUUUUGUCUCGCUUGAUUUCGUUGAGUUUUGACAAAGUUAUGGCCGUUUAAAGAUUGUGCAUUUUCCGGCCGAAUUCCGGCUUUCUCUCCCAUUGGGUCCGGCGACCCACCAAAACCAAGCCCAUUGGGCCUUCCCUGCUGAGCCCAACCCUUUUGGUUGUGAGGCCUUUGGGCCAUGUGUGUGUGUGUUUUAGAUUGUGUGGGUGUGUGGGUGUGUACCCGUGUGUGUGUGUGUAUAUUUAGUAUGUGUGUGCUGUGUGAGUGUGUGAGUUUGUGUGUGUGUGUUUAAGUGUGUGUGCGUGUGUGUAUAUGCAUGCCAUGCAUGCAUGUGCAUGCCGUGCAUGUGUAUGUGUGUUUGUGGUGUGUAUGUGUUUGGGCUUAGGCCCAAACCCCAUUUCUUCACCCUAAACCCUUUUAAUCCAAAAACCUUAGGACCCUAAACCCAAAACCCAAUAAAUCCUAAUCCUAGUUAACCUAAACCUAAACCCUAAUCCAGAUGUCAAGCCUAACACCCAUUUGACCUAAUUUGACCGUUGACCCCCGGUCAACGUUGACUUUAGGGUGGACUUUUCAGGUUUUCGUCCGGAACCCUUCUUAGGGUAAUUCGACGUUCUGAAUCCGUUUCCAAUGUCCGUUUUCCCAAAUUCAAUUAUUAUAAUAGAGUUUUAUUAAUUGGACCCUUUAUGUGCUUAGGGGCAAUAUUUGUGACGUUUUCGUGGUUGCUAGUUUGCGUGGCUCUUCGGCGGCUAAGUACUGUGAGUGGACCCCUUCUAAAAUGCAUGUUUUAUAGUAGAAAUGCAUACAUGAAAAGCAUGAUUUGAUGAUUACGUUUUACGAAACGUUUUGUAAGAUAACAUGCUUACUGAGGCCACUUUGAAUUAUUACUAUUUUUCCUAUAACCCGUAUUCUUAUAGAAUAUCCGAUGGAUGACGAUAUGAUAUUUAGAACAUGUUUCGAACACCUCUUUAUAGUAUAGAUGAUGGAUGACUUUAUACUAUGAAGUUGUUUUUCAAAAUAUAUAUGUUCAAUGGUUUCGUACUUACCUAGUGGUCCUUUCCGCUACGGGACGUAGGGAUAGAUUCCGGUCCGUCCCGGGCGACGGUUUGGUGUUGGCAUAGGGCCUGGAGUGUGUUUCCUCUGGCUAUUUAGCACAGAGACGGGGAGCCGGCAUGGGGCCUGAAGUGUAUUUUCCUUUGACUGUCUGCUCAGAGACGGGGAGCCGGCAUUGGGCCUGGGGGUUAUCGGACAAUUCACUAGUGAUUAUUAUAUAUGAGUUAUGAUUUGAGAUACUGCACAUCAUGCUAGGUUUCGAAAAACCUAUGUUUAUCAUUAUAUAUGUGUUUUCAUAAACCUGGGGGUUAGUACGUUGAUAACUGUUUUAUUAUAUAUAUAUCAACUUGGUCCACUCAUGUUUGUUUUGCGCCCCCUUCAGGGCUUAGAAUCGAGGCAUACAAUC
rnacentral:lncRNA from 1 species